UAAGACAUCCUCCAUUAGUUUAUGUAAAAUUUACUCUUUGGCAUGAUGAGCAGUAGUACUACCACGGUACCACCAUCUGAGUAUAUUUAAGAAUUGAUUGGUAUUUUUUGUACUAUCAUUUAAUGUAGAUCAACAUGAGGCUGCUGAAGGAGUCCUUCUUCAUGAUGAUUUGAAUGAGCCAAAAAUGGGAGAGAAACUUGCUAGUCUAAGUGUUCUGGAUGGGAACAAAUCAAGGAGUGAUAUAGAGCAAGAAUCUUAUGUCCUAGCAAAGCCUCCAAGUGCAGACUUUGUACAUGUUUUGCUUAAGCAAGCAUUAAAUGCUGAUGAUCGCACCUUUCUGCUAGAUUGCUUGUUUACACAAAAUGAGAAGGUUGUUGUAACUUUUCAAAGGCCAUGUUGCAGCAGAUCUCUAACUUUGUGCAGCAUAAUAAUAAGCUCAUGUAUAUUUAAUUAAAAAUUAUAAUCAACAAAGAGUGUAAUUAGGAACUAGUUUUAUUAUUAUUAUAUGACAUUUACCUACAGAAGACCGUAGGUACAAGUAAAUUGACUUUUACCUACAGUUAGAGAUUAUAGGUAUAAAUUAAUAUCUUUUACCUA